UACGAGGGGGGCAAGCGUUGUUCGGAAUUAUUGGGCGUAAAGGGCGCGUAGGCGGUGCGGUAAGUCUGAUGUGAAAUCUCCGGGCUCAACUCGGAGUCUGCAUCAGAAACUGCCGUGCUCGAGUGUGGGAGAGGUGAGUGGAAUUUCCGGUGUAGCGGUGAAAUGCGUAGAUAUCGGAAGGAACACCUGUGGCGAAAGUGGCUCACUGGACCAUAACUGACGCUGAUGCACGAAAGCUAGGGGAGCAAACAGG
rnacentral:rRNA from 1 species